AUUGAACGCUGGCGGCAGGCCUAACACAUGCAAGUCGAGCGGGGUUUUCGGACCUAGCGGCGGACGGGUGAGUAAUGCGUAGGAAGCUGCCCGAUAGAGGGGGAUACCAGUUGGAAACGACUGUUAAUACCGCAUAAUGUCUACGGACCAAAGUGUGGGACCUUCGGGCCACAUGCUAUCGGAUGCGCCUACGUGGGAUUAGCUAGUUGGUGAGGUAAUGGCUCACCAAGGCGACGAUCUCUAGCUGGUUUGAGAGGAUGAUCAGCCACACUGGAACUGAGACACGGACCAGACUCCUACGGGAGGCAGCAGUGGGGAAUAUUGGACAAUGGGCGCAAGCCUGAUCCAGCCAUGCCGCGUGUGUGAAGAAGGCCUUCGGGUUGUAAAGCACUUUCAGCGAGGAGGAAGGGUUAGUCGUUAAUAGCGGCUAAUUUUGACGUUACUCGCAGAAGAAGCACCGGCUAACUCUGUGCCAGCCGCCGCGGUAAAAC
rnacentral:rRNA from 1 species